ensembl:snoRNA SNORD63 Small nucleolar RNA SNORD63
GUGCGGUGAUGUUUUUGUCAACCCUUCAUUCUGAAAGAAAAAAUGUGGUAACUACUAAAACUGAGCACA